GAAGGCUUGCAGAGUCUGAUGUCUUGUAAUUCCCUGUGUUGCCAAGCAAAGCCUGGAGUUCCCACCCGCUGGGGCAGGGUCAAGUGCCAGUUGUUUCCUGCCCUGCUCUGGCAUAUUAGCACAAUAUGCACUACUGCAAGCAAGUGGCAAAGCAGGACACCAUGGAGCUCUUCAGUAAAGGAAGUAAAGAAAGUCAAAAGAAGGUGUGACUGCCAGCAGGAGGAUGCCAGUCAAGGCCAAGAGCAGCUCAGUUUGACUAGGAUGAGGAAAAGCAAGCCCUGUCACAAGAAUGGUACUGAUUGAUAAGACAAAACCAAAUCAAAGCAAGUUUUACCUCUUUCAUUAUCCUCCUAGACUUCAACAUUACCAUUUUUAUCAUAAUCCUUCCCUCUCUUCCUUCUGCUUCUUGCUGAGAUGAUGAAAGGGAGAUGUUUGGAAGUAGGAGGAGCUGAAGCAGCAGAAAGGUGUAUAAAGGGCAUGAAGAAUGGUCUAUUAGACUUCACACUAUGUGAAGGAAAGUAAUACAUGAGCCUCUCCAAGAGGCAAAAUUUACUUACAGCCCAUAAGUAGAAAUUUUUCAGUAUAUAAUGUAUUUUGCAUAACUGCAUCAUAAUCUCUGUAUAGAGAUAUAUUAGAGAAAAAAAAAAAAAAAAAAAAAAAAAAAAAAAAAAAAAGUAAGCAGUGCUUUUUCCAAACACUGGAAUGUUAUUUGGUGUUUUCUUCUGCACCAAUGAGAGGCGUUUCUUUUUUCCUCUACAGUUUUACUUUCUGUCACUGAACCACAUCCUCUCUUGUUUUCUGUGAAAUUUUGACAGAUUAAGUUCUCUAAGAUGGGUUUCUUUGUUUCUGGAAUGGAUUGUGCCUAUAACUCUCAUGAUCUCAAUUCAGGAGUAGGAUUUGUUUAUGUCUUAUUUCAUUGAUACUCUUUUUAAGACUGAGCAAUGAUAGUGGAAUGGAAAAUAUUAGAAUUAGUUUUUUUCCAGCACCAGCAAAGCUGCAGCGAGUCCCACUACAUCUCCUUGAAGGCAGGAUAAAGAUUAAACCCAAACCACACCAAAAUGACCCAGCACCAUCCUCAGUGCAGCAGUACCCACACAGAGAGGUCUGUCCUACUUACAUUGCAGCUCAGACCAGAGUGAUCCCAACCCCAUCCUUGGCCACUGCCCCAGGACC
rnacentral:lncRNA from 1 species